rnacentral:ncRNA from 1 species
GCUUAAUUUGACUCAACAUGGGGAAACUCACCAAGUCCAGACAUGACUAGGAUUGACAGAUUGAUAGCUCUUUCAUGAUUUCAUGGGUGGUGGUGCAUGGCCGUUCUUAGUUGGUGGAGUGAUUUGUCUGGUUAAUUCCGAUAACGAACGAGACCUUAACCUGCUAAAUAGCCAGGUUGGCUUCAGCUGGCUUCCAGCUUAUUAGAGGGACUGUCAGCAUCUAGCUGGCAGAAGUUUGAGGCAAUAACAGGUCUGUGAUGCACAACAACUGAAGGCA